GCCUAAAGCGUCCGUAGCCGGCUUUGUAAGUUUUCGGUUAAAUCUAUAUGCUCAACAUAUAGGCCGCCGGGAAUACUGCAAAGCUAGGGAGUGGGAGAGGUAGACGGUACUCCGUAGGAAGGGGUAAAAUCCUUUGAUCUAUGGAUGACCACCUGUGGCGAAGGCGGUCUACCAGAACACGUUCGACGGUGAGGGAUGAAAGCUGGGGGAGCAAACCGGAUUAGAUACCCGGGUAGUCCCAGCUGUAAACUAUGCAAACUCAGUGAUGCAUUGGCUUGUGGCCAGUGCAGUGCCGCAGAGAAGUCGUUAAGUUUGCCGCCUGGGAAGUACGUACGCAAGUAUGAAACUUAAAGGAAUUGGCGGGGGAGCACCACAAGGGGUGAAGCCUGCGGUUCAAUUGGAGUCAACGCCAGAAAUCUUACCCGAAGAGACAGCAGGAUGAAGGUCAAGCUGAAGACUUUACCAGACAAGCUGAGAAGUGGUGCAUGGCCGUCGCCAGCUCGUGCCGUGAGGUGUCCUGUUAAGUCAGGUAACGAGCGAGAUCCUUGCCUCUAGUUGCUACCAUUACUCUCAGGAGUAGUGGGGCGAAUUAGCGGGACUGCCGUAGUUAAUACGGAGGAAGGAGAGGGCCACGGCAGGUCAGUAUGCCCCGAA
rnacentral:rRNA from 1 species